AUGAAGAAUCGUUACUUACCAAUCGGUAUACCAUCGGCAGUUCUUGAAACCGAGAGAAACAUUGAGACAACUGAGAAUCUUCAGGUAUAUUCGCUCUUUCUUCCUUUUAUAUUCCUUCUACCUUAUCUUCUGAUUAAAAUUCCUUCUGCGAACAAUAUGCGCUUCUGUGAUGUUCUAUGUCGUUGUGUGUUAUGUUAA